rnacentral:rRNA from 1 species
GGGCGCAAGCCUGAUCCAGCAAUGCCGCGUGAGUGAAGAAGGCCUUCGGGUUGUAAAGCUCUUUUGUCAGGGAAGAAACGGUGGGAGCUAAUAUCUCCUACUAAUGACGGUACCUGAAGAAUAAGCACCGGCUAACUACGUGCCAGCAGCCGCGGUAAUACGUAGGGUGCAAGCGUUAAAUCGGAAUUACUGGGCGUAAAGCGUGCGCAGGCGGUUUUGUAAGUCUGACGUGAAAGCCCCGGGCUCAACCUGGGAAUUGCGUUGGAGACUGCAAGGCUUGAAUCUGGCAGAGGGGGGUAGAAUUCCACGUGUAGCAGUGAAAUGCGUAGAGAUGUGGAGGAACACCGAUGGCGAAGGCAGCCCCCUGGGUCAAGAUUGACGCUCAUGCACGAAAGCGUGGGGAGCAAACAGGAUUAGAUACCCUGGUAGUCCACGCCCUAAACGAUGUCUACUAGUUGUCGGGUUUUAAUUAACUUGGUAACGCAGCUAACGCGUGAAGUAGACCGCCUGG